UUUUUCUAAAAAUAACGUACUCCAUAAUAGUAACUGUAUCGGAUUCGUACCUAUACCUACGCAACUCAGAUGCUUCACAAUGGAAACAAUAAUAAGUAUUCAAAGAGCGUGUGUAUCGGAUUCGUACCCGUACCUACGCAACUCAUAUGCUCUCAUAUGCUUCACAAUGGAAACAAUAAUAAGUAUUCAAAGAGUGUGCGUAUCGGAUUCGUACCCGUACCUACGCAACUCAGAUGCUUCACAAUGGAAACAAUAAUAAGUAUUCAAAGAGCGUGCGAGCAUUAUAUUCUUGAAGAGAGGUGGGUGAAGGAAUGGGAUAAGGAAUAUGUAAAAAAUUGAUGCAGGGACUUUUUUAUACUUUAGGUGAAGAAAAGAAAAUCUUCAAAGAAAGAAACGUCAAGAAAAGUAAAGAAAAUGUGAAAUAAAGGAGUCUAACAUGAAGAAAUCUUGGAAAUUAUUAUACAAUUUAACAACCAACUAACAAAUUCAAUAAUCACACAACCAAUUAAACUAGUAGCAUUUCAAGAACUAAAGUUCAGAAAACAUAACAAACCUAGCAUUUUGCUUCUUACAUGAUAGGCAAACCCAACCCAUACUAAAAACAUAAUCUAACAUAGAUCCAUUUCAAUUUAAGUUAUGUUUUAAAAAAAUUCAUAGAAAUCAUGUUAUCUAGGGAAAAAGAUAAUUGAAAACAAAAGUAAAUUAAAAGAAAAGAGAGAGACAAAGAAGAGUAACUCAC
rnacentral:lncRNA from 1 species